rnacentral:lncRNA from 1 species
GUGAAGGUCACGACUGAGGAAGAUAAGCUGACCUAACAAAAGAUGAGUCAUUAUUUACAGGGAUGAAGAAGGCAUUAGCAAAGAGCCUUCCUUUAUGGAAUGGCAUAUCUGACCGAGGUUAUUCUGAAGACGUUCAAGUCUCAAGCCAUUAGGACAAAGAAAGCACCAAAGACCAAUUACUAAAAUGCAGAAAUAUAAAGAAACAGAAAAUAUUUGCACUGAUUUAGAUCGAGUUAUAUGAACUAGCAAUUGAAAACUGAUAAGUAAGAGAGAGAGAGUGAGAGAGUGAGAGAAUGAGAGCGUGUUAAAGGAAAGAAGGCAUGUGUUGUAGUUUCUCCUUUUCUUUCUUUUUUCGCUAUUGCACACAAAUUACAUCUUUAUACUGAAAUUUUACCCCAAAAAUUGAAGCCAGUGCGGUUCAAACCACUCAGCAUCCCACAUCUCGACAAUAAAAAUACAACAAUCACCCAUUCUCUCCCAACCAAUAAAAGGUGAAACCAAAAUGAUUCUCCUGAAAAAAUUGGAGAAUGAUGAAAUAAUACACAAAUUAAAAAUGAAUGAAACAGCUAAUAUACUCAUGUGACUCGUCGUGACUAAAGAUGAAUCCUAAAUAAGAAUGCAUAUUUUUCUCUGCCUUCACUAUUGUACAUUCACCAAAUUCAACUUUAGUGGCCUCAAUGCCUCUUGAACUAUCUGCUGGACUGUUCGGUUUCUCCGACAAACAUCAGAAAGUUCUUCAAUAGGAGACAUCAGGGCAUUGAUAUCCAUCCCAGAUGCUGCAUCUGACAAUGCUUGAAAGAAUCUUGCACGCUCCACUUCAGUGACUGCUGUCAACGGAAUUAGCGAAACACACUCCUUGGCCCACUCCACUGCUCUUGCUCCAUAUGCACGAGUUAGUGAUAGUAAAGCAUACAUUACCUGGAUUUAAAAAAACCCCAAAAAAAAAAAAAAAAAAAAAAAAAAAAAAAAAAAAGAAAGAAGAGAACUUCCUUCAAUACCCAAACUUAAUGCCUGUAAUUCAGCAUGUAACAGGUUGAGUGUAGGAAAUACAGUUUCUAAUCGAGAACUAGGGAGUGCUCCAGCUACUGAUGCAACCAGAAUUCUAGUAAUGCUAGCACCUCGGGGAAUAAUAACACUAUCUCUGAUGGAUAAAUAUUGUUCCCCCACGCUAGACUUUGCCAGAUCAAAGAUGUCAGACAAGAAUGUCAGUAUGGAAUUGGAGGCCUCUCUGCAAAGGUUGAAUUACAAAGUCAGAACAUGUAAAAUAAAUAGAUGACAAGAAGCCCAAAUACUGUGAAACAAAAUGUAGAAGACUUUGAACAAGUAAAAGAAUAAUGAAGUGCGACAAAAUAACAUUAUUGAUUAUUCUGAAGGCGGUGAGUGGUGAAGGUCACGACUGAGGAAGAUAAGCUGACCUAACAAAAGAUGAGUCAUUAUUUACAGGGAUGAAGAAGGCAUUAGCAAAGAGCCUUCCUUUAUGGAAUGGCAUAUCUGACCGAGGUUAUUCUGAAGACGUUCAAGUCUCAAGCCAUUAGGACAAAGAAAGCACCAAAGACCAAUUACUAAAAUGCAGAAAUAUAAAGAAACAGAAAAUAUUUGCACUGAUUUAGAUCGAGUUAUAUGAACUAGCAAUUGAAAACUGAUAAGUAAGAGAGAGAGAGUGAGAGAGUGAGAGAAUGAGAGCGUGUUAAAGGAAAGAAGGCAUGUGUUGUAGUUUCUCCUUUUCUUUCUUUUUUCGCUAUUGCACACAAAUUACAUCUUUAUACUGAAAUUUUACCCCAAAAAUUGAAGCCAGUGCGGUUCAAACCACUCAGCAUCCCACAUCUCGACAAUAAAAAUACAACAAUCACCCAUUCUCUCCCAACCAAUAAAAGGUGAAACCAAAAUGAUUCUCCUGAAAAAAUUGGAGAAUGAUGAAAUAAUACACAAAUUAAAAAUGAAUGAAACAGCUAAUAUACUCAUGUGACUCGUCGUGACUAAAGAUGAAUCCUAAAUAAGAAUGCAUAUUUUUCUCUGCCUUCAC